CAGCCGCCGCGGGAAUACGAAGGGUGCAAGCGUUAAUCGGAAUUACUGGGCGUAAAGCGUGCGUAGGCGGUGAGUUAAGUCUGCUGUGAAAUCCCCGGGCUCAACCUGGGAAUGGCAGUGGAUACUGGCUCGCUAGAGUGUGUCAGAGGAUGGUGGAAUUCCCGGUGUAGCAGUGAAAUGCGUAGAGAUCGGAAGGAACAUCUGUGGCGAAGGCGACUAUCUGGGCCAACACUGACACUGAGGCACGAAAGCGUGGGGAGCAAACAGGAUUAGAUACCCCCGUAGUCCCUGUCUCUUAUAC
rnacentral:rRNA from 1 species